CAUGGGUAACAGUUUUAAAACAGGAUUAUGUUCACAGUCUAGAAGUCAUAAAAAGAAGAUACAGCCUUUUUCUUGACCUAAAAAAGUGGAAGGAGGGUUUGGAGGUCUCUUCUUAUCUUCUAAACUAUUGCCAGAAGUCUGUAAUAUAGUCUAAAUUACAGAAUCUUAAUCUCUAGUCCAACCUCCUGCUCCAAACUGGGUCAUCUCUGAGAUCAGACCCCUUUGCUCAGUAUUUGAUCCAGCUAUGGCCUGAAAAGCUCCAAGGAGGCAACCACCCUUGACAGCCUCUUCCUGCUUUCCCUCAUUGGGUCUGAAUCCCCUCUGCUUCAAUGUAUGUCUGUUUUCUUAUCAACUCCUGAGAUGCGGUGCUACAAGGAACCUGGAUCCAUCUCCUCAGUGACCUCACUGCUUGAAACUAUCCUUUCUCCAGACUGAACAAGCCCUGGUUCUUCAGCCUCUCCUCAGCUCUCCCAGCAACUAUUCUUACCUCAACCAUGGGUGGGGUGAUGUUGGCCAGCUGCAAGAUGCCCACUGAAGUGCUCUCUCCAUUUGCCUUCAUCAACAGGACAGGGAGAGAAAAUAAGAUGGAAAAGGUAAUGAGCUGAGAUAAAGAUAAGGAGAUCGUUCACUGGUUCCUGAUCCAGGAAAACAGAUCCAACUUGGGGAAAAUAAGUUUGUUUAAUUUAUUGCCAAAUACAUGGAUUUGAAUGAUAUGAAACAAAAAAAUAAAAUAAAACAACACCUUCCUCGGAAGUGCCUCCACCUUGACUGCUUGUCUCAGCUGUGCCUUGGGGUGGGGCCCUUAGGCCCUGGGACUGGCUGUGUCACAGAGGCCAUGCCAGCACCUGGACAGGGGCACUCAGUAUGGGGACCUUCACUAAGCUCAUUCCAGUUUACGUCUCUUUGCAGAAGGAGUAUGCUGAAGAGCAGGCACAGGCCCAUUCUGGGUAGGAAGUGUGUCUUUAGCCAUCCUCAUUAGCAUCAGCCUGCUGAUAUCCUUGUUACCAUAUGAUCUGUUGGCUUCUGGAGCCCUCAUUUGUGUUGAUGGCUGAGCAAGUAGCAACGAGUAUAUGGAAACAAGAAAUGUUUGUCCCUGUUGCUGAAUAUGAAUUAAUAAACAUUUAAGUUAUCUGUAUCUCUGAUAUAGU
rnacentral:lncRNA from 1 species